rnacentral:rRNA from 1 species
AAUCAACGCUGGCGGCGUGCCUCAGACAUGCAAGUCGAACGAUUAAAGCUCUCUUCGGAGAGUGUAUAGAGUGGCGCACGGGUGAGUAACACGUAAGUAAUCUACCCUCGAGUGGGGAAUAACAACCGGAAACGGUUGCUAAUACCGCAUAAUGCAGCGGCACCGCAAGGUGACAGUUGUUAAAGAUUUAUCGCUUGAGGAGGAGCUUGCGGCAGAUUAGCUAGUUGGUAGGGUAACGGCUUACCAAGGCUACGAUCUGUAACCGGUCUAAGAGGACGGUCGGUCACACUGACACUGAAUAACGGGUCAGACUCCUACGGGAGGCAGCAGUCGGGAAUUUUGGGCAAUGGGCGAAAGCCUGACCCAGCAACGCCGCGUGAAGGAUGAAGUAUUUCGGUAUGUAAACUUCGAAAGAAUAGGAAGAAUUAAUGACGGUACUAUUUAUAAGGUCCGGCUAACUACGUGCCAGCAGCCGCGGUAAAGUACAGUGU